GUCAGAUAAUUCUAAUGUUUGUGUCUUGAUAUUGUCAUCUGUUGAUUGCAUUUUCUCAUUCAGUUUGAGAUCUUCCUGGUUCCUGGUAUGACAAGUGAGUUUUGAGUAAAAUUUGGAGGUUUUGGCUAUUAUGUUACAAAGCUCUAAAUCUAAUUUAAACUUUUAGCUGGCUUUUUUGACACCGAUUUGGCAGGGAAAGUGAUAUACCUCCUCAUUACUGCCAGGUACAGGUAGAAGUCUAGAUUUUCCACUUGGCCUCUGUUAAGACCCAAGGUUAAGGAUCUUCGUUACUGUGGGGCAAGGGUGGCAUUUCUAGCUCCACGCUAGGCCUCCACUUAUAAAUCCUUGACUAUGAAGAGUGGGAAUGUUUCCUAAAUGCUCCGUAUCUGACCUUUACUUAUCUAACAUUACCCCAGUAGGAAGGAACCUCAUUAGUGCUGAGGGUAUGUAGAAGUCCAGGUUCCCCAGGUGAUCACUACUAAUAUGGGGAAGGGCAGACUCAUGUCACCCAGCAGGGAUAAAGUCCCAACUCUAUACAUGGUCUUCUCUGGUACUACUCCACUGGAAGUUUUGGAAUAGUACUAUCACAAAAAUAGAGGUUUGGGUUUUAUACUCAACCUUUCCUGGCAGGGGUAAAUGUAGAACCAGUUUUUUUUUUUUCUCUGUGG
rnacentral:lncRNA from 1 species